GGAUUGGGCAAAGGUGAUCACGUGACGCUCCUUCCCUUCUGAUUAAUGUUGUUUCUUUACUAGACGCUAGUUUGCCAAGUUAUUGUGUUUUUAGAGUGCUUGGGGACCAUCGGAGGGGUAAAAACCGCCAGUUUUCUUCCGAAAUUUUAAACCAUGUCUACUGGCGAGCUUGAGGGAAUUUUUUAGACGUCCUCCGUCACACAUAGCCUCUCGCUACAUUCCUUGAACCUCAGCAGAUGCAGGCAAACUCUUAUGAUGGAUCCAGGAGGCGAAUCAGAUUCUCCGACAAGAGUUUCAUCAAGCAGCAACAGAGUUUCUGUUGUGCCAUUAACAUAUAGUGGUAAGUCAGUGACAUUGUGAAUAUGUGAAAUAAACUGAAAUGCAGCAAAAUAAGUGAAAGAGAAUCAAAACUUCUCUGUUGUACUUCAUUCAUCUUAGUUCCAAAAUGACAAUUCAGUCAGGGGAUUUGACUAAAAGGGUGCUGCGAUUAGUGAUGCAAGUCAGCAUGGUAUGGUAGAGAUAAUGGUUGUGGCCUUAUGGGCAUUGCUGAAAUUGUCUGUUGUCAUCCUGGUUGAAAUUCUGCUUGUUCAUCAGGAUCUUGUUUAAGCAAAUGUUUCUAUCUGAGCCAGAUAACUUUGAACUUAGGAAUCCUUAAAAAGUGGUUUGCUGUUUUGUUAAUGUCAACCCCUCACAAAGGGUGAGGUUUUGCAGCAUCCCAAUCGGUAAAUACUGCUUUGGAGGCAGCGUGGCUGAGUGGUUAGGGUAGCUAAGGUAAGGUAAAGUCUGCAAACGAGCCAAGUGGCCCAUCAG